rnacentral:lncRNA from 1 species
AGCUUGUCUUAGUCGACCUGCUCUGCUGUUAACAAGAGAUCUGGGGCUGAGUAACUUAUAAAGGACAGGAAUUCAUUUCCCUGUUCUGGAGGCUGGAAAGUCCAAGACGUAGGAGCUGGAUGUUCAGAGUCUGUACUCAGGAUCAAACUCAGGACCUUGCGCUUGCGAGGCAGGUGUGGUGCCCCUGAGCUACAUCCCUGGCCCUCUUGUUUGUUUCUUCUAAGCCACCACCACAACAGAUAUUUUAAGGCAUUCAAUGUAAUGAAGCCAGGGAAAGAUUCCUGUAAUCUGGAAGUAAGGCAACAUCAAAACAGUUACUUCUGAGAACGUUUAUAACCUGUCAGGAAAAGAGACAAGAAACUCUCUGGCUGUGUAUCCCUG